AGUGGUGUCAUAUUGUGCCCCUUUCACAAACGCGUUGGCAUAAUGCAAACGACCUGUGACUGACCAACGAAACGGCACAAAAACGCCACCGUCGGUGGUGCGUCAAAACCUUCACCACUAAGCAUCAAACUUUUAAAUACACUCUUCCCUUCAAAAUCUCCUCAUAUUAUCUCUCUCUCUCUAAAACCACAAAUUACAAAAUCCCCUCAUAUUAUCUCUCUCUCUCUUAAACCAUCAUGUCCUCCACCGCGCCUCCCGUCCUCCCCAUCUCCAACUCCCAAACCACCGCGGGAACCACCGGUGCAGGCGGCGGCGCCAUCGAGGCUCCGGCCAACAACCCGGCCUUCCGCGCUUUCAUCAACAACCUCUCCAACUCCCUCCGCCACGGCCUCGACCAGCGCCGCCCCUGGUCGGAGCUCGCGGACCGCUCAGCGUUCUCGAAACCCGAGUCCUUCUCCGAAGCCACCCUCCGUGUCCGCAAAAACUUCUCCUACUUCCGCGUCAACUACUACGCUGUCGUUUCACUCAUCCUCGCAGUCUCUCUCCUAACCAAUCCUUUCUCUCUCAUCCUCCUCGUUGGCCUCCUCGCCUCUUGGACCUUCCUCUACCUCUUCCGUCCCUCGGAUCAACCUCUCGUCAUUCUCGGCCGAACAUUCUCCGACUUCGAAACCCUAGCCCUCCUCUCCGCCUUCACCGUCUUCGUCGUUUUCCUCACCAGCGUCGGAUCUGUCCUCGUUUCGGCUCUGAUGCUCGGUGUCGCCGUCGUUUGCCUCCACGGCGCGUUCCGCGUGCCGGAGGAUCUGUUCCUCGACGAUCAGGAGAAUUCUCAGGCUACCGGAUUCCUCUCCUUCCUCCGCGGCCCUGCCUCCGCCGCUGCCGCCGCCGCCGCCGCUGUUCCCACCGUUGCCUCACGCGUUUAGAUUUGUGCCUCCCAAGGGGCCAUGGUUGCAUAAAUAUGGUUUUAAUCAAGCCGGACCAGUGAUUGAACCUGUGAAGGACUAAUUCAAGGGGCAAGGUUUGAUUUGUCAUAAUGUGUACUGCUGUUUAGUUAGACUUGAGAUCUGGACAAACUCAGAUCUCGUUGCGGGUCCUCUAGUUGCCUUCACUCCGAUCUCGAAGGUGUCGAAGUCGUCGCGCAUCUCAACCUCAACCUCAAAUGGUGUAACUUUCAAUAGUUGUAACGGCUGUAAUAACACCUAGAAUGUUCAAAAUAAUGUCUUUUCAGACUAUUUUUAUUAGUGGUCAUAACGACUAAAGCCAUGAAUGAAUUUUUGCAUA